rnacentral:rRNA from 1 species
UACGUAGGCAGCAAGCGUUGUUCGGAAUUACUGGGCGUAAAGAGUGUGUAGGCGGUGCUCUAAGUUCGGUGUGAAAUCUCCCGGCUCAACUGGGAGGGUGCGCCGAAUACUGAGAGGCUAGAGUGUGGGAGAGGAAAGUGGAAUUCCUGGUGUAGCGGUGAAAUGCGUAGAUAUCAGGAGGAACACCGGUGGUGUAAACGGCUUUCUGGACCAUAACUGACGCUGAGGCAACGAAAGCGUGGGUAG